rnacentral:rRNA from 1 species
AGAGUUUGAUCAUGGCUCAGGACGAACGCUGGCGGCGCGCUUCAUCCAUGCAAGUCGAACGAGCCCGGGACUUCGGUCCCAAUGGGAAAGUGGCGAACGGGUGAGUAACACGUGAGAAACCUACCCCGGAGAUGGGAAUAGCCCAGGGAAACCUGGAUUAAUACCCAAUACCCUGCUUGCACCUCAUGGUGCGCUCAGGAAAUGCUUUUGUGCUCCGGGAGGGUCUCGCGGCCUAUCAGCUUGUUGGUGAGGUAAUGGCUCACCAAGGCAUCGACGGGUAGCUGGUCUGAGAGGACGAUCAGCCACACUGGGACUGAGACACGGCCCAGACUCCUACGGGAGGCAGCAGGAGGGAAUAUUGCGCAAUGGGCGAAAGCCUGACGCAGCGACGCCGCGUGGGGGAAGAAGGCCUUCGGGUCGUAAACCCCUUUCAGCAGGGACGAAAUUGACGGUACCUGCAGAAGAAGCGCCGGCCAACUACGUGCCAGCAGCCGCGGUAAUACGUAGGGCGCAAGCGUUGUCCGGAUUCAUUGGGCGUAAAGGGCUCGUAGGCGGUUUGGUAAGUCGGGUGUGAAAACUCAGGG